GCGGACGUGGCGGAAUUGGUAGACGCGCAGCCUUGAGGAGGCUGUGGGUGAAAACCUGUGAGAGUUCAAGUCUCUCCGUCCGCA
rnacentral:tRNA from 1 species